rnacentral:rRNA from 1 species
GACGAACGCUGGCGGCGUACUUAACACAUGCAAGUCGAACGGAAAGGCCCUGCUUUUGUGGGGUUAUCGAGUGGCGAACGGGUGAGUAACACGUGAGUAACCUGCCCUUGACUUUGGGGUAACUUCAGGAAACUGGGGCUAAUACCGGAUAGGAGCUCCUGCUGCAUGGUGGGGGGUGGAAAGUUUCGGCGGUUGGGGCUGGGCUGGCGGCUGAUCAGCUUGUUGGUUGGGUAGUGGCUUACCAAGGCUGUGACGGAUAGCCGGCCUGAGAGGGUGACCGGCCACAUUGGGACUGAGAUACGGCGCAGUCUCCUACGGGAGGCAGCAGUGGGGAGUCUGGCACAAUGGGCGGAAGCCGGAUGCAGCAACGCCGCGUGCGGGAUGACGUCCUGCGGGGUGUAAACCGCUUUCGCCUGUGACGAAGCGUGAGUGACGGUAAUGGGUAAAGAAGCACCGGCUAACUACGUG